rnacentral:lncRNA from 1 species
AAGUAAACAAAUUAACAAGUUAAUAAAUAUAACAUUAAUCCUAAGAAUAUGUAUGCCAAAACCAUAAAUCACUCAUGAUACAAAUGAUACAUAUGAUAUAUAAAGUUAAUAAAUAACUCAUGAGGUUGGUUGGGUAUUUUUCUUUAUAGAAUUUGAGGAGUUCAUCUAUUGUAUCUACCCGUCUUGCCUUUGGCUUUACCUCAAGUGUAUCCCAGUUCCCUAUGAGAUACAAAACAAAACUGCUAUUAUUUAGCAGUUUCGGAAACCUAAAUUUGAGAGAGAGGUUCCAUUAUAAAUGAUAUUUUACAUAUUUAAACAAGAAAGUGCAUUACUAAGAUGUUUUUGUAGCUGCAUCAGAUCACAUUAGUGGUUUGAUAAAGAACUGUGCAAAUCUAUACAAGAAAAGACAUGAAAAGAAAACAGAUUAGUUGAAUUCUACGAGGACAAAAUGGGAAUACCAUGAACUAAUUAAAGAAUUGUCAAAAACAAGUGAAAUGUGCUUAUCUAAAGCCACUUCAAAACAGUUAACAUUAACAUCAAAGUAGUAAUUGGGGUCUCAGAGGAUGUAUAGGCAUUGGACUCAUAAAUCUCGAGUUCUCUGACCUCCAAAACUGAGUAUAUAGAUAAUUUUGUGAAAAUGAAAGUCAACAAAUCAAUUAAAAAUGCAACUAUGUGAUUUUCUAGACAUGUUGGAUUCUUAGAGAUUGCAUUUCAAAUGAAACAACAACACAGGAACAUCAAAUACUUGGAAUCCAUUGGAAAUUUGCUAUAUCGUUCACUUUGUUUCGAUUUAGUCUUUAGACUAACAUCAAACACUUGGAAUGCAUAAUGAAAUAACACGUAGCAACAACAUAGGAACAAAACAUGAAUAAAACAUAAACAUUAACUCAAAUUGAAAUUGAAACAGGAAAAAUGUAAUUUUUUCGGCACUUACCAAUUCCCAACAAGAAGAAUACUAAGCGUUUAGGACGAUUUAGGAAGAGCUAACAUGCAUAGAUGAUAAGGACUAGUAUCGGAGGGCUCCCGGAGUCAUAGACGACGUCGGAGGAGAAGCAACAUCUCUGAUUCAAGAAUGCGACGAUGAGGUUGGAAGGAAAUGAAGACCAGAGUAGAAGGCGAUAUCGUGAAAGUUGUACACAGUAGCAUUACCCUUCUUUUCUUAUGAUCAUCAAUUGGAGCACUUGUCUGCUGAUUGCAUCGACUGAACUCGAAUUCUCUACCCUUCUUUUAUCUAACAGGUCAUAGUCAACACAUGGAAAGAAAACGGUGAAUCUUUCGAUCGACUUCAGGUUGAAUCAACUGAUGGAACCGAAAAUCGAUCAAAGAAGGAAAAGGGAAAUUGAAGCAACUGGUGGAACCGGUGAUCGAUCAAAGAAAGAAAGUGGUGAAUCGUUCGGUCGAUCAAAGAAACAAAAGGGUGAAUCAAAGAAAGUUGGGGCUAGUGACCUAAAGUUGCGAGCGAUCAAAGAAAGAAAAGUGGGGAAGAAUGAGAUGCUAAGAAGUUAUAUGAAACAAUUAAAAUUCAUCCCACAUCGCUGCUGGGAGCAUUCGUUAAAAGCAACUUAUUAUAUAAAAUGGAGCUUCUAUCUCUUGAAAAACCAAACCCAGCUACUUUUUGGGCAAGCUGGCUCUUUUGAGUUGCGAUCCGUUAGAGUUUGCUUGAUCGAUUUGGGCCGAUUUGGAGUCCGAGUAGGUCCGAUUUGG